rnacentral:ncRNA from 1 species
UAUCUGGUUGAUUCUGCCAGUAGUCAUAUGCUUGUCUCAAAGAUUAAGCCAUGCAUGUCUAAGUAUAAGCACUUUAUACUGUGAAACUGCGAAUGGCUCAUUAAAUCAGUUAUCGUUUAUUUGAUAGUACCUUACUACAUGGAUACCUGUGGUAAUUCUAGAGCUAAUACAUGCUAAAAACCUCGACUUCGGAAGGGGUGUAUUUAUUAGAUAAAAAACCAAUGCCCUUCGGGGCUCCUUGGUGAUUCAUAAUAACUUAACGAAUCGCAUGGCCUUGCGCCGGGCGAUGGUUCAUUCAAAUUUCUGCCCUAUCAACUUUCGAUGGUAGGAUAGUGGCCUACCAUGGUGGCAACGGGUAACGGGGAAUUAGGGUUCGAUUCCGGAGAGGGAGCGUGAGAAACGGCUACCACAUCCAAGGAAGGCAGCAGGCGCGCAAAUUACCCAAUCCCGACACGGGGAGGUAGUGACAAUAAAUACUGAUACGGGGCUCUUUUGGGUCUCGUAAUUGGAAUGAGUACAAUCUAAAUCCCUUAACGAGGAACAAUUGGAGGGCAAGUCUGGUGCCAGCAGCCGCGGUAAUUCCAGCUCCAAUAGCGUAUAUUAAAGUUGUUGCAGUUAAAAAGCUCGUAGUUGAACCUUGGGUCUGGCUGGCCGGUCCGCCUCACCGCGAGUACUGGUCCGGCUGGACCUUUCCUUCUGGGGAACCUCAUGGCCUUCACUGGCUGUGGGGGGAACCAGGACUUUUACUGUGAAAAAAUUAGAGUGUUCAAAGCAGGCCUUUGCUCGAAUACAUUAGCAUGGAAUAAUAGAAUAGGACGUGCGGUUCUAUUUUGUUGGUUUCUAGGACCGCCGUAAUGAUUAAUAGGGAUAGUCGGGGGCGUCAGUAUUCAGCUGUCAGAGGUGAAAUUCUUGGAUUUGCUGAAGACUAACUACUGCGAAAGCAUUCGCCAAGGAUGUUUUCAUUAAUCAGGGAACGAAAGUUAGGGGAUCGAAGACGAUCAGAUACCGUCGUAGUCUUAACCAUAAACUAUGCCGACUAGGGAUCGGGC